rnacentral:rRNA from 1 species
UACGUAGGGUGCAAGCGUUAAUCGGAAUUACUGGGCGUAAAGCGUGCGCAGGCGGUUUUGUAAGUCUGUCGUGAAAUCCCCGGGCUCAACCUGGGAAUUGCGAUGGAGACUGCAAGGCUAGAAUCUGGCAGAGGGGGGUAGAAUUCCACGUGUAGCAGUGAAAUGCGUAGAGAUGUAGAGGAACACCGAUGGCGAAGGCAGCCCCCUGGGUCAAGAUUGACGCUCAUGCACGAAAGCGUGGGGAGCAAACAGG